rnacentral:lncRNA from 1 species
GUGUGUCAUCUUUUAUAGGCUCUCUAGAGGGAUCGGCUCGAAUGGCUGAACAGAAGGAACCUGAAUUUGUUGACACGAUGUCUCCUCAGCCUGAGUGGGGACCAGUGAUUGCCUUGGAUUCUGAUGGCAGAGCAGUUUAUCCGCGAUUUGUUUACGAUGCUUUACCAGAAAAGAGACAUUAAAUCAAAAGCAAGCACAGCACUGGGGAAAGCUGCUGUGUCCCUGAACUUGGUACUUCCUGUCAAUGUGAACACUCACUAAUGCUACAGUUUUAGGCAGUGAUUCCAGAUUCCAAUAGAACCUUUGGACACUGAAUCUCCAGGGAGAACCUUUAAGAACAGACCAUGUACCUGCAACAGAGGACCCUGGGAACCUUGCGCCUGGGUUCUGAUGCACCGUAUAUCAUGCAUCUUUUUCUUCAUUGAACUUGCCUUGUCUUCUUUUCCCAUGAUGCAUCACAGCCAAUGAACACUACCAUAUGCUGACUCUUAUGUCCUGGAGAGCAAUCACGUCCAUCCAAGUGCUCAGGGGAACGCUCAACACACAACUAUUCUAAACGUAGUUUCUGAACUGAGUGGACGGUGGUUUAAGAUUGCAAAGGUCUACACUGAAUCAUCAAAAUGGGGCUGACGUGACGAUGAGGCCUGUGCAGUCACACAGGACCCCCUGAUUUUUAGAGGACUCCUCCCAAGUCUGUGCUGAGCUGUGAACAUUCAACAGGUCUCAAAACUCUUAAUACAGAGUCUUAAUUUUUACUUUGUUCUGGGUCGUCAAAUGAUGCAAUUUACAAAGGGUCAAGGUGGUACUGAGCUAUCUCCAUAUUUACUUACCCUCAUGCGUGUAUGUAUGUGCCUCUACACACACAUUCUGCGUGUUCUUCUUUUUAUAAGAACACCAUAUUAAACUGGAGUCCAUCUUAAUGACCUUGUUUUUUUUUUUUUUUUUUUUAAACUUUAUUGCUCUCCAAAGUGAGAUCACUUUCUGAGGUGGUGCAGUUAUGAUUUGAACACUGCAUGAGGGUCACAGUUCAAGGUC